rnacentral:lncRNA from 1 species
GGGCAGAAGGAUCAGGAGCCUAACUAACCACAAGUAGGCUGUACAUACCCUGAGGUGAUUCACACAAUUGCAGUCAAGAUGCUGCUUUGUUUCACCCCUACACCCUGCCUGUAAGAGCAUGUAGAGGAUAAGAAAACGGAUUCGGCAUCUGUUAUCCUUCCUAAAUCGUCUCCAACACUGAAUCAUCAUGUUUUAUUUGGAAGUGCAUAUGGAGUCGACGCCUUGAGGCUGUCACUCUGCAUUACCCGCGACCGACACCACGUAUGCAGGCAAGAGUAAAACAAGCUGUAGUGUAAAUUAUCCACAAAUCCCCGCUCCUGAGGAAACACUUUAAAACCCUCAGAAUAAACCUGAGAAGCAGCACGGCAGUCGGUUUCACUUUGAGGUGCUUCUUCGAGGAAGGAGGCAGAGCAGAAAAGUCGAUCUCCAGUCUGCUGCAGUGGAUUAGUCAGCUCCAUUUAUUUAAGGUAUUGCAGAGAGAGCUGAGGAGUCCCGGACAGUGUGAGAGUGUCCGAUCUUCAAGAUGCAGCGCAUCUACAUGCACAGCAAUGAACACUUUGAGGUUUUCACCACUGUCCUUGCUCCACAAGGUGAGUGGAAUCAUAUCUGCAGGGAAGUGUGGCUUAGCAGGACAUUAUUUAUGUGGUUAGCAAGAGCAAGCCCAGUGCCAGCUGACCGAUAGAUGCCUUGUUUUCCCUCCUUCUGGACUGUUUACAUAAAGAUUUAACUGCACAGAUGUUUAUGUGCACGCAUUAAUGUCGAGGUCUUCUUAUGCACGUUCGCAUAUUAAUGAAAAAUGUUAAAAAUAACCCUUUUUUGCUGAUUCAUUUCUGCUCUCGAUGAUAAACAGGGAGGUAUCGAUACAGAGCAGAAGCUGAAAAGGCAAGUUCGUUUUUUUCUUAAUUUCCAUCAACAUAAAUUUGCAUAUUUAACUGUAGCACUGAUAUGAAAAUGAGAACACAAUUCACAGUUUUAUGUAUGCUUAUAUAUGUCCAAGACUAAUGUAUAUGAAUGUGACAUUGCAUCAAGUUAAUCAAUUUCCUGCAAAAUUAUGCAUUUAGUUUUCUAAUUUCUCUCACAUAAUAUUCAGGUGUAACAUAAUGAAGGGUAAACCCUGAUUAAGAGUUACUAUUACACUAUAUAACAACUAAUCCAAGUCUUCACACGUAAUCCUUUCCAUUCACCUAGUCUGACCUGCAGGUUGUAAAAAAAAAAAAAAGGAGCUGAUCAUAAACAAGUUCUGCCCUAACAUAAAUUUAGCAUUGAAUUUUAAUCUUGCAAUAUUGAAUAUUCAAAUUGGAGCUAAAAAUUAUUGUAAUUCUCCUUUUGUCCAUUAGAUGGUAGUGGUGCACAGGUACAGGCCCCACUGGCCUGACGAGCUGGAGCUGUCUCCAGGUGACGUCACCCUGGUGCUGUCCAAACAUGAGGAAGGGAGGUGGUUUGGGCAGCUGCAGAAUGGGCAGCGAGGUUAUUUCCCCGCCUCAUGUGUGAUGGAGCUGGGC